UGGGCAGUUCUAAUUCCAAAAGAGGGAAAUUGUUUCUGUUCAGAGUGAUCAGUGAUUUUUUUUCCAGUGAUGUAUAAACAGAUCUUGUAUUUGUUUCUGAUGUGCAGAUUAAGUUCCAAACCCCUAAUUAAUUGUGUGGGAUAUUUAUGCUUAUUUAUGUUUUGCUUAGACAGUGUUGUGUGUCUGUGGCCCCUCUCCCAUCCCCCCUCCAGGACUCCCCCAAGCUGAGACUGCAGAUUUGGAACCAUGAUAGUUUCCCAGGGAUGAGGCUUUCCUCCUUCAGAAACUGCCUGAAUGGAAAAGUACUUGCACAGUCCAGAGUUCCUUGGUUAUGUUUGCUAUUCAGACCCCAGAAGGCAUGGAUGAAUUUCUAAAUCCUGCUGAAGUCACUGGAGAUACCUUACAUGGCACAAGAUUAGCUUUUUGGGGACAGAUAUUGUCAUUCAUUGUAUGUUUUACAGUCUGAAGCACAAAAAAACUCUCUUCUCAGUAAACACUUAAGCAUUACUGUAGGAAAAAAAAAAAAAGAAAAAAAGAAUAAUAAUAAUAAUAAAAAAAGAAAACAGCAAACA
rnacentral:lncRNA from 1 species